rnacentral:rRNA from 1 species
CCUACGGGAGGCAGCAGUGGGGAAUUUUGGACAAUGGGCGCAAGCCUGAUCCAGCCAUGCCGCGUGAGUGAAGAAGGCCUUCGGGUUGUAAAGCUCUUUCGGCAGGAACGAAAUGGUUCGUGUUAAUACCACGGACUGAUGACGGUACCUGAAGAAGAAGCACCGGCUAACUACGUGCCAGCAGCCGCGGUAAUACGUAGGGUGCAGGCGUUAAUCGGAAUUACUGGGCGUAAAGCGUGCGCAGGCGGUUUCUUAAGUCAGAUGUGAAAGCCCCGGGCUUAACCUGGGAACUGCGUUUGAAACUGGGAGACUUGAGUGUGGCAGAGGGGGGUGGAAUUCCACGUGUAGCAGUGAAAUGCGUAGAUAUGUGGAGGAACACCGAUGGCGAAGGCAGCCCCCUGGGUUAACACUGACGCUCAUGCACGAAAGCGUGGGGAGCAAACAGGAUUAGAUACCCUGGUAGUCCACGCCCUAAACUAUGUCAACUGGUUGUCGGGGGAUUGAUUCCCUUGGUAACGAAGCUAACGCGUGAAGUUGACCGCCUGGGGAUACGGCCGCAAGGUUAAAACUCAAAAGAGUAGUAGACGUGAGAGAGCGACGACGACGACGACGGAGGAGGAG